GCCUUUGAGAUUACGAAGCCUCAUAGCAACGAAUCUCAUCUCUUCAGUAAUGCCCUUUGUCUCUCCUGGGUACGGCUUCCUGUAUCUCUUUCUCUUUCUAAUAAUCGGAAGACCAAACUUCGUCGUCGUCGUAGUUGUGGUUGAAAAUGAAGAAUUGGAAUGGGAGCAACACAUUAUCAACUUUGUGGGGUAUCUCUUAUUCUCAGUUGGUACUAUGAGCUUCAGUUGAGAUGAUGUGAAUAAUGAGUUUGGCAGUGCUUGACACGGUGCCAUCGGUGCUUUUAAGACACUGCCCAGACUUUCUGGUUUCUGCUAGUAUUCUUGUCUGCAACUGGAAGAUGAUGCAAACUCUUUGUUGGAUUGAGAGGCUACGGUGGCAAGGGAAAGUAAGUAACGGUUUCAAGGAAAUUUUACCUUGAUUGAGAAGGAGGGGUGGGAAGGGUUAAGGGAAUUGAUGGUUUUUGGGAGGUUAUUUGAGGGUUGAAACUAUU
rnacentral:misc_RNA from 1 species